rnacentral:rRNA from 1 species
GAUGAACGCUGGCGGCGUGCCUAAUACAUGCAAGUCGAGCGAACGGACGAGAAGCUUGCUUCUCCGAUGUUAGCGGCGGACGGGUGAGUAACACGUGGAUAACCUACCUAUAAGACUGGGAUAACUUCGGGAAACCGGAGCUAAUACCGGAUAAUAUUUUGAACCGCAUGGUUCAAAAGUGAAAGACGGUCUUGCUGUCACUUAUAGAUGGAUCCGCGCUGCAUUAGCUAGUUGGUAAGGUAACGGCUUACCAAGGCAACGAUGCAUAGCCGACCUGAGAGGGUGAUCGGCCACACUGGAACUGAGACACGGUCCAGACUCCUACGGGAGGCAGCAGUAGGGAAUCUUCCGCAAUGGGCGAAAGCCUGACGGAGCAACGCCGCGUGAGUGAUGAAGGUCUUCGGAUCGUAAAACUCUGUUAUUAGGGAAGAACAUAUGUGUAAGUAACUGUGCACGUCUUGACGGUACCUAAUCAGAAAGCCACGGCUAACUACGUG